AAGAGACCUCUCUCUCUGCCAUCUGAGGACACACCAAGAAGACUGCCAUCUACAAGCAAGGAAGAGAGCCCUCACCAGAAACCAAACCAGGCUGGACUUUGAUCUUGAACUUUCCAGAUUCCAGAACUGUGAAGGAGAGACCCCUGCCAUGGGACUCUCCCUGAUAGCCGUCGUGGGCCUGUACUACCUUCUGCGCUGGUAGUGGGAGAGACAGGUGGUGAGCCUCCCUUGAGAUAACUGCUUCAUCAUGGGCUGUGACUCGGGCUUCGGGAAUCUGCUGGCCAGACAGCUGGAUACGCAAAGCUUGAGGGUGCUGGCUAUGUGUCUGAUGGAGAAGGAGGCAGAGCAGCUGAGGGGCCAGACUUCAGACAGGCUGGAGACGGUGACCCUGGACAUCACCAAGACAGAGAAUAUCGCUGCAGCCACCCAGGGAGUGAAGGAGUGCAUGGGGGACAGAGUUUCUGAUUUACUUGGCAACAAACUAAGGCCAAAAAAAGGCCGGGAAAAUGGAAUCCCUUCUGUCUUUGCUCCCGCCUGGCUAGCUUUCUACCCACGUGGAUUACCCCCCUGGCAUGCUCAAACAGCUGAAGAUUCUAAUGCCUCAUAAGUAAAACUGUGUGAUAGUUUUUAAUAAACAAAAACAAAAUCUUUUUAAAA